GACGUAGGAGGCGAGCGUUGUCCGGAUUCAUUGGGCGUAAAGAGCGUGUAGGCGGUUAGGUAGGUCCGUUGUGAAAACUCGAGGCUCAACCUCGAGACGCCGAUGGAAACCAUCUGACUAGAGUCCGGAAGAGGAGAGUGGAAUUCCUGGUGUAGCGGUGAAAUGCGCAGAUAUCAGGAAGAACACCCGUGGCUAAGGCGGCUCUCUAGUACGGUACUGACGCUGAGACGCGAAAGCGUGGGGAGCGAACAGG
rnacentral:rRNA from 1 species